GUUCAAUCAAUAUAUCAGAUAUUUUAGUUGAAUGAUUUCACUCUGAGCUUUAAAUGACGAGUACUGUUAAGUGGUGGAAGAUUAAAGAGUAAAAAAAGCUUGAGUUGAACAAUAGUAUGGAUACAACGAAUCUUCUACAACUUAUGGUAGUGGUUAUUUUGUUCUACAGUGUAGGAAGUUUUCCGUAUAAGGUUCUAUAUAUCUAUGAUGAUGUGCAUGAUUCACCAUACAUGUUUGACGAAAAUGAUCAGAUUGGUUCUUUCGAAUUGCCGAAACGAAAUACAGAUGAGUUAUACCAACAGAAAUCUAGAGAUAAUGACUUAUUACAAGUGGUCAGACGUGCUUUGGUAGCCGGUUGUGGUCCUGAAAUAGAAGGCUGUGGAAAAUG